rnacentral:tRNA from 1 species
GGUGCCGUAGCCAAGUGGUUAGGCAGCGGUCUGCAAAACCGCCAACGUAGGUUCGAUUCCUAUCGGCACCU